AGAGUUUGAUUCUGGCUCAGGAUGAACGCUGACGGCGUGCCUAACACAUGCAAGUCAAGGAGAACGGAUCUUUCGGGAUCUAAUUAAACUGGCGAACGGGUGAGUAACGCGUAGAUAAUCUGCCCUAUACACAGGAAUAAUUCCGGGAAACUGGUUGUAAUGUCUGAUGAGGUACUUUCGAGUAUCAAAGCUUUCGGGCGGUAUAGGAUGAGUCUGCGUAUGAUUAGCUAGUUGGUAGGGUAAAGGCCUACCAAGGCAACGAUCAUUAGCUGGUUUGAGAGGACGAUCAGCCACACUGGUACUGAGACACGGACCAGACUCCUACGGGAGGCAGCAGUGAGGAAUUUUGGUCAAUGGGGGCAACCCUGAACCAGCGACGCCGUGUGUACGAAGAAGGGGCUUUGCCCUGUAAAGUACUGUCAGAUGGGAAGAGAAGUUUCUUUUUAGAGACUGGGACUGUACCAUCAGAGGAAGGACCGGCUAACUACGUGCCAGCAGCCGCGGUAAUACGUAGGGUCCAAGCGUUAUCCGGAAUUACUGGGUAUAAAGGGUGCGCAGGCGGUCUUGCAAGUCUGAGGUUAAAGAUCACGGCUCAACCGUGGGAAUGCCUUGGAAACGGCAGGACUUGAAUAUGAGAGAGGUAAGUGGAAUUCCUGGUGUAGCGGUGAAAUGCGUAGAUAUCAGGAGGAACACCAGUGGCGAAGGCGGCUUACUGGCUCAUAAUUGACGCUCAGGCACGAAAGCGUGGGUAGCAAACAGGAUUAGAUACCCUGGUAGUCCACGCCCUAAACGAUGUAUGCUUGGUGUUAUGGUCGCAAGACUGUAGUGCCGGAGAAAAUUCGUUAAGCAUACCACCUGGGGAGUACGAUCGCAAGGUUGAAACUCAAAUGAAUUGACGG
rnacentral:rRNA from 1 species